UACGGGGGGAGCAAGCGUUGUUCGGAUUUACUGGGCGUAAAGGGCGCGUAGGCGGCCACCGCAAGUCGACUGUGAAAUCUCCGGGCUUAACCCGGAAAGGUCAGCCGAUACUGCGGGGCUAGAGUGCAGAAGGGGCAACUGGAAUUCUCGGUGUAGCGGUGAAAUGCGUAGAUAUCGAGAGGAACACCUGCGGCGAAGGCGGGUUGCUGGGCUGACACUGACGCUGAUGCGCGAAAGCUAGGGGAGCGAACGGGG
rnacentral:rRNA from 1 species